CCGUUAGCAAGCUGUCAAAACCAAACGGCCUCGUUGAAUACGGCGUUUGUUUUUUGAACCUUGCAUUUGUAAAUCCAUCAAAUGCAAGGUUCAAAAAGCAAAGGCCGUAUCCAAGGGGCGCAUUUGGAUGUGCCAGCUUGCUAAUGGUCUUUGAGCUAGUCUUCAAUAAUGCAAAAGUAGAUACCCCUCCAGCAACAAGGAAAGUACAUAUAUACUCUGGAAAGGUGUAUCUGAUACCAUAAACUAAGGUGCCCAUCAACAUAACAGGAAUCAUUUUUGAGGAUUUUGCCAGGACCUGGGCAGGAUAACUAAUAUAUUUUAAUGCUUCAAUCCCCAUGGCGGGGCCAAUUGUGUUUGUAAUGCCUGCGCUCCAGUAUGUCCACCAGGGGGCGCCACCUGCACUGCUUCUGGACCAAAUCUUUAUCAUCAUAUAAGACCAAACUAAGCAGACAACAUUUUGCGCCAGAUUUAGGAAUGCCAGAUGCUCAAACCUCUUCCCAUCCGGACCAAAUCGUUUUGUUGAUAGAGUUUCUUGGAGAACGCCUUGGUAAAUGUAAGCCGACCAGAUUCCGGCAACGCAAAAGGCCAACACUAACACUCGCCGGAGACCGGCGCCGUGUGCUUCCAUUUCGCCGCCGGAAGUCCCGAUUACAAAAUUUUUGGCGGGGUUUUCUCUCUCUCUCUCUCUGUUUUUUUUUUUUUUUAAAUAACGGGAACAAGAAAAACAAAGUAAAAAAGAAAUAGAUCCAAAGGGCGAUAGCAGCUAGGACAGAAAUGCGAUGAAAUGGAAACUCGGAAAGUA
rnacentral:misc_RNA from 1 species